GAUAAACGCUGGCGGCGUGCAUAACACAUGCAAGUCGAACGAUGAAACUUAGAUGAUUUCUUCGGAAUGAACUUAAGCGGAUUAGUGGCGAACGGGUGAGUAACACGUGAGUAACCUGCCUUACACAAGGGGAUAGCCUUUGGAAACGAAGAAUAAUACCCUAUAACGACAAUUUAUCGCAUGAUAGAAUGACCAGAGAUUUAUCGGUGUAAGAUGGACUUGCGUCUGAUUAGCUAGUUGGUGAGAUAAAGGCCCACCAAGGCAACGAUCAGUAGCCGGCUUGAGAGAGUGUACGGCCACAUUGGGACUGAGACACGGCCCAAACUCCUACGGGAGGCAGCAGUGGGGAAUUUUGCACAAUGGGGGAAACCCUGAUGCAGCGACGCCGCGUGAUUUAGAAGGCCUUCGGGUUGUAAAAAUCUUUUUUAUGGGAUGAAAAUGACAGUACCAUAAGAAUAAGGUCCGGCUAAAUACGUGCCAGCAGCCGCGGUAAUACGUAUGGACCGAGCGUUGUCCGGAAUCAUUGGGCGUAAAGGGUACGUAGGCGGCCCAGUAAGUUAGAAGUGAAAUAAUAUAGCUCAACUAUAUAAAGCUUUUAAAACUGCUAGGCUUGAGAGAUGGAAGGGAAAGUGGAAUUCCUAGUGUAGCGGUGAAAUGCGCAGAUAUUAGGAAGAAUACCGGUGGCGAAGGCGACUUUCUGGUCAUCAUCUGACGCUGAGGUACGAAAGCGUGGGUAGCAAACAGGAUUAGAUACCCUGGUAGUCCACGCUGUAAACGAUGAGUGUUAGGUUCUUGGAAUAAUCUGGGAGCCGCAGCUAACGCAUUAAACACUCCGCCUGGGGAGUACGCACGCAAGUGUG
rnacentral:rRNA from 1 species